rnacentral:rRNA from 1 species
AGUGAACGCUGGCGGUAGGCCUAACACAUGCAAGUCGAACGGCAGCACAGUAAGAGCUUGCUCUUACGGGUGGCGAGUGGCGGACGGGUGAGGAAUACAUCGGAAUCUACUUUUUCGUGGGGGAUAACGUAGGGAAACUUACGCUAAUACCGCAUACGACCUACGGGUGAAAGCAGUGGAUCUUCGGACCUUGCGCGAUUGAAUGAGCCGAUGUCGGAUUAGCUAGUUGGCGGGGUAAAGGCCCACCAAGUCGACGAUCCGUAGCUGGUCUGAGAGGACGAUCAGCCGCACUGGAGCUGAGACACGGUCCAGAGUCCUGCGGGAGGCAGCAGUGGGGAAUAUUGGACAAUGGGCGCAAGCCUGAUCCAGCCAUACCGCGUGGGUGAAGAAGGCCUUCGGGUUGUAAAGCCCUUUUGUUGGGAAAGAAAAGCAGCAGGUUAAUACCCCGCUGUUCUGACGGUACCCAAAGAAUAAGCACCGGCUAACUUCGUG